CCUACGGGGAGCAGCAGUGGGGAAUAUUGGGCAAUGGGCGCAAGCCUGACCCAGCAACGCCGCGUGAAGGAAGAAGGCUUUCGGGUUGUAAACUUCUUUUGUCAGGGAAGAGUAGAAGACGGUACCUGACGAAUAAGCCACGGCUAACUACGUGCCAGCAGCCGCGGUAAUACGUAGGUGGCAAGCGUUGUCCGGAUUUACUGGGUGUAAAGGGCGUGCAGCCGGGUUGACAAGUCAGAUGUGAAAUCCUGCGGCUUAACCGCAGAACUGCAUUUGAAACUGUUGAUCUUGAGUACUGGAGAGGCAGACGGAAUUCCUAGUGUAGCGGUGAAAUGCGUAGAUAUUAGGAGGAACACCAGUGGCGAAGGCGGUCUGCUGGACAGCAACUGACGGUGAGGCGCGAAAGCGUGGGGAGCAAACAGGAUUAGAUACCCCAGUAGUC
rnacentral:rRNA from 1 species